UUUAAUUAAUUCCGCGGAAAAAAAAAUUUGGUCACGAAAUGUAAAAAUUUCAGCGGGAUAUGAAAUGUUUCUCUCUCUAGAAGGUCCUAACUCUCUCUCUUUCAUUGCCAAAAGACGCCUACUCUCUCUCUUACCUUGUCUUGAAGUAAAAGCCCUAAAUCUCAUUGCCUAUAUUCCUAAAUCUCUCAUUCAUUGUCACUAAAGGUUGAAGUUCUUGUUCGUUGCUCAUCUAAGAGUAAGCUUAUACUUCAGUGGUCAACUAGGAUUCUUGUGCUAAUCUGCUGCUUUAUUGAGAAGAAGAAAUUUUAUGCGGAAAUCACCUUCAAAUUGGAAACAGUUUCUCCUUUGUUCCCUUUGUUAUUGUAGUGGUGAGUAUACUUGCUUUUUUCCCUUAUGUCAGGACUCCAUAGAUCCUUCACGCCAUUAUUAUAAUUUUAUUUUGGGUAAGGGACUAGUUAUCAGAAAAAGACCCUAACACAACUAUUCAUACCAAUACUGUUAGAAAAUGAAGUGUUGAAGUAUGUUACCAUAUUAUCCAAAAGCUCAGGUUGUUGGAGACAACAUGUUUUUGUUUGCUUAAUUAGGUCUUCAACACCCCCUUACACAUGGCCCUUGAGCUAAACACAUGGACAUUCUUUUUGAUACUGGCUGGCGGUGGCCGGUGAGAUUAAACCUAGAACUUGUACUUAUUCCAAUACCAUGAUAAAGUGUGACCAUCUCAUUUAAAAGUUUAAUAGGUUGGAGACAGUGCACUUUUAUUUGGUUAGUUAUGUCUUCAACGUUAGUAAUCUACACAAGUUGGUCUUUGCAUUUAUAUUUAAAACGAAAAGAUUUUGAUCUUUGUGUAAUUAUAUGUCUGAAAUAUGUGUAGAAUCAGUUCUACAUGUAACAGGCUGUCUAUGCCAUAUUAACCAUGAUAGCAACUCUGCCACUUGCUCAAUUUUUCUUCUUUCACAUACUCCUCAUAAAGAAGGUUAGUCUUUUGUCAUCACUCAUCUGUCGAUCCUAUCUUGGGCCUUAUUUUUCUUUUUAAUCAUCAGCUAACGAUUUUGCUUGGAUGACAAGGAAUUAGCACCUAUGACUGCAUCAUUGCUCUCAGAGAUCAAGAGCAACAAGGAGUUGCAGGUUAGUAAAGUCCUCAAAUGUCAACUGUUAGCUCCCUAACUGGAUUAAGCAGUGCAAGCUCCUUUAAUACUUUCCAACGAGCAGCAUGGUGCACACUACCUCGCCUUUUUGUUGAGGAUCAGGUAUGCUUCAACAGAAAUUAAAUUCUGAUAAGUUCAAGGAAUUUAGUAGUACUAAACAGUUGGGUAUGGUAACUUUUAUUGAGUUUGCGGUGCUAAUUUAUAAUUUUCAUUCAGUUGGUUAUGGUAUUAACAACCCUUUAUCGUGUUCGUGGUGCUACUUUCGAACAGUCUUCAGUUGGCAUCUCAAUUUGAAUUUAGUUUCUAUUUUCACAUUUCUUAGCUUCAAUUCCAUGUAAACUUAUCAAAGUUACUAGUUCUACACACAAAAAAAAUUUCAUGUUAACUUAUCAGAAGAAAAGAAAUUUCAUUUAACCCGGUAAUGUGGUCAAUGCUUUGCCAGCUUGUGGAUAGAAGCUCUUUGAAGUGGACUCUCAUGAGAAACUAUGUUCAAUAUUGAGCUUGGUAGGGCUCUUAUGUUGCCAAAAGUGCUAGGAUAUUUUAGAAAAUUUGAACCUUAUGCUGUCAGUCUGUCAUUGUGGAGCUUUGCCAAUUUAUUGCAAUGUUAGUAAUCCACUUUUAGAGAUAGCAAAUCUUGAACAGUUCCUCUUGAGUUGAUUCUUUGGUAUGGUUGUUACAACCAUUAAGGGAUUAUCUGGUUGUGAUCGGUAGAACUUCAUAUGGUCUAAUUAUAGUUAAGAGGAUCGAGAACAGUAUGGCCUGGAUAAGAGGGAUUGUGUAGUAUCAAGUAUACCUCUUGAGCUGGAAAUUUUAUGCUUUAAUGCUUUUGUAUAAGUGAAUAGAAAAAGGAUAAUUUACUAAAUUUUGUUUAAUCUUUUGGUGUUUCCCUACAGUAUGAUGUAGUUUCUCCUGACACCGUAUCAGUCAGUUCACUUGGUAAAAGGUCAACGACAGAAGAACCAAUUAAGAAAAAGAAUCCAGCUGUUGUGAAGAUUAGCCUAUGGACGUUAGCACAAUUGAAUGCAGAGGAUGUUUCAAAAUCUACGGCUGAAAAUUCUCUAGCCUGUAGUAAUAAGGAAUUGCACUGGUUUCGUUGUUAAUAGAAUGUUCUUUCCUUUUAGGUAAAGUGUCUGGCAGCUUCAUUGGUUUAAUAGAUGUGCCUAUGUUACCAUGAUUUUUUAGCUAAACUAGUUCAAUAUUCUUAAACAUAGUGUGCUAUGUGUUGUCUGUCUUUAGGGCGAGACUUGCAAGGAUUUGCCCAAACAGUAUUCUACCACUAAGAAUUCCAACUUUAUUAUCUGUAACUUCUUUUCCUUAUCAACUUUGAAUGUAGAAUUUUGUUUGCAUAACUAACAAUGAUCAGAUUUAGUAUUUUGAUUUCCUACAUGCAGGCUGUGUGAUCUUAUUGGUUUCAAUGUUGCAAUGACUAUUGAAGCUCAAUUUGUAUUGAGUAUGCCUGAAAGAAUUUACAAGUCAACACUUAUUCCACUAAUGCAACAAGAUAAAAGAUUAGGUGAAACGACUCGAAAAGGUUUCUACUUAUACGAUGAAAGACACAAAGUCAAGCCUGGUCCAAAAAUUAAGAAAUACGUUGAGAAGGCAAGAGAAAUUUCUAGUGCCAGCAUUCACCCUAAGCUGGCAAAACUCUCAGACAAGGACAUCGUCGAAAUAAUCUUAUUCCCUUCAGUUAAUGAAUCAUGCAGAUUACUUGCUGAAUGCACUGCUGUCAAAGCUGCUGAUCUUGAUAUUGCUUAUGUCAUGGGCAUGGGCUUCCCCCCUUACAGGUCUGUGCUUUGAUCAGAUUAAAUGUGUGCGUACAUUAUUUCAUGGAAAAGCUGCUGAGAUUUUUUGAUAUACAUUAUCUUCCAAUCAAAGGUUCAAAACGUGAUCUGGAUAGCCAACUGAAAAUUAUUUCCUCAAAUUUUAUGGUAUUGAUUAUGUCUCAACAUGAAGAGAAGGUAAUGAAAGAAAGCAAGCGGAACAAAUCUCAUUCUGAUGAUGUAGGAUAUAUUGAAUCAGAGACAGUUGACCCAUCAAUGAAGAUGGAAAAUGUGUUGCCAGGGUCUGAAAGAUCAGCUGAAAUAUCUCAGGUUGUAGACUAUCAAAAUUACAAGGUGGGUGGAACUUUUGAAAAUUCUAAUCUUACAGCAAAAAUUAUGGAGACUAGAAGUUCUUUUAUGGAAAGAAAAGACAAUGAAUCUGUGGACUUGGGGCCAUCAACAAUGAGCAGCAAAGGAAUCAUGUUGGAAGAGUAGAGUGUAGAAUGUUAUUGAACUGGUAUAGCUAGAAAUGUUGAUUUGGAUUGCGUAAACAGUGCCAUAACAUUUAUGUUAUGGCUACUUGGCAAUUUGAGAUGUAAAUACAUUAUUAGUUUUAAUAUAUAGAGAAGUUGUCUUUAUUUUUGUUA